AGAACGAACGCUGGCGGCAGGCUUAACACAUGCAAGUCGAACGCGUGUAGCAAUACACGAGUGGCGCACGGGUGAGUAACGCGUGGAUAUCUGCCUUUUGGUUCGGAAUAACCCCGGGAAACUGGGGCUAAUACCGGAUGGUUCCUACGGGAUAAAGAUUUAUCGCCAAAAGAUGAGUCCGCGUCCGAUUAGCUAGUUGGUGGGGUAAUGGCCUACCAAGGCGACGAUCGGUAGCUGGUCUGAGAGGACGAUCAGCCACACUGGGACUGAGACACGGCCCAGACUCCUACGGGAGGCAGCAGUGGGGAAUAUUGGACAAUGGGGGCAACCCUGAUCCAGCCAUGCCGCGUGAGUGAUGAAGGCCUUCGGGUUGUAAAGCUCUUUUGGCGGGGUACGAUGAUGACGGUACCCGCAGAAUAAGCCCCGGCUAACUUCGCGCCAGCAGCCGC
rnacentral:rRNA from 1 species